AUAUCAGUCAUGCAUAGCAUAUCAAUAAGCGGAGGAAAAGAAACUAACAAGGAUUCCCUUAGUAACGGCGAGUGAAGCGGGAAGAGCUCAAAUUUGAAAUCUUCAAGGUUCUACCUUGACGAAUUGUAGUUUAUAGAAGUGUUUUCUGUUAGUAGAGUGGCAAAAGUUCUUUGGAAUAGGACAUCAUAGAGGGUGAGAAUCCCGUAUUUGGUCAUUCUUUCUAGCUUUGUGAUACACUUUCAACGAGUCGGAUUGUUUGGGAAUGCAGUCCAAAAUGGGUGGUAAAUUUCAUCUAAAGCUAAAUAUUGGCGAGAGACCGAUAGUGAACAAGUACCGUGAGGGAAAGAUGAAAAGAACUUUGAAAAGAGAGUUAAACAGUACGUGAAAUUGUCAAAAGGGAAGCGUUUGACACCAGUGUUGUUUUUCCGAAAAUCAAUUACGAAUGUUUUGUUUUCGAGGAGUUAUGACUUCAUCGGCUUGCUCCUUUCUUUACGAAACUUUCUUAAUGCACUUUUCGGUUAACAAGUCAACAUCAAUUUCUUUUGUUGUAAAAGGGUAUGAGGAAGGUGGCUUUCUUUUCGGAGAAAGUGUUUAUAGCCUUGUGCCUCUGCAAUCGGAGAGAUUGAGGUCUGCAGCGUAGAUCCUUCGGGGUUAGAUACGUUUGUGCUAAGUUAUAGUCUUUUAUAGACAACUUGUUGACUAUGAUUGAUCUUGUAGCUUACUCGCUUAUGCUAUUUUACCUACGCUUAGGAUGUUGAUCUCUCACAGUCGAGC
rnacentral:rRNA from 1 species